rnacentral:rRNA from 1 species
ACGCCCGACACCUACGGGAGCCAGCAGUGGGGAAUAUUGCACAAUGGGGGAAACCCUGAUGCAGCGACGCCGCGUGGAGGAAGAAGGUCUUCGGAUUGUAAACUCCUGUUGUUGGGGAAAAGAGGAUGGUACCCAACAAGGAAGUGACGGCUAACUACGUGCCACAGCCGCGGUAAUCUGAGCGGGCUGGCAAGGC